UACGUAGGCAGCGAGCGUUGUUCGGAAUUACUGGGCGUAAAGAGCUCGUAGGUGGUUUGUCGCGUUGUUCGUGAAAACUCACAGCUCAACUGUGGGCGUGCGGGCGAUACGGGCAGACUGGAGUACUGCAGGGGAGACUGGAAUUCCUGGUGUAGCGGUGGAAUGCGCAGAUAUCAGGAGGAACACCGGUGGCGAAGGCGGGUCUCUGGGCAGUAACUGACGCUGAGGAGCGAAAAGCGUGGGGGAGCGAACAGG
rnacentral:rRNA from 1 species